rnacentral:lncRNA from 1 species
UGAUUUCUCUCCUCUCUUUCCUUUCUAUUCUUCUUUUUCCCUUUUCUAUUUCCUAUUUUCUGUUUCUGUUCAUAACAAAUGUAUCAGAGCUUCAACGGUUCUCUAUGGUUGGGGAUGGUGUCAAAAGGAUGUGGGCGUUUUGCAGCAGGAGAUAGUGAAGAUCAAAAGAGAGUUGUCCCAACUACGGUGAUUCAAAGAUUUCAAGGAUGAGCUCAUGGGUGAGCUACGGUCCAACUUUCAUUCCUUAUUUGAGUGAUAUUUUGGGCACUCACAUACUGCC